rnacentral:rRNA from 1 species
GACGAACGCUGGCGGCGUGCUUAACACAUGCAAGUCGAGCGAAGCCCCCCCUUCGGGUGGGUGUCCGAGCGGCGAAAGGGUGAGAAACACGUGGGCAACCGGCACUCAGCAGGGGGAUAAGUCCGGGAAACCGGGGCGAAUACCGGGUGCGACCUCCACGGGCAUCUGCGGGGGUGGAAAGUUGUUAGGCUGAGGUUGGGGCCGCGGCCUAACAGCUAGUUGGUGGGGUAGCGGGCCAGCAAGGCGAAGAAGGGAAGCCGGCCUGGGAGGGCGACCGGCCCCGCUGGGAUUGGGCUGCGGCCCAGACUCCUCCGGGAGGCGGCAGUGGGGAAUAGUGCGUUACGGGAGAAACCCUGACGCAGCGACGCCGCGUGGGGGACGAAGGCCUUCGGGUUGUAUUGCUCUUUCAUCUGGGACGAAGCGAAAGUGACGGUACCUGCAGAAGAAGCCCCGGCCAACUACGUG